rnacentral:rRNA from 1 species
UAGGGAAUCUUCGGCAAUGGGGGGAACCCUGACCGAGCAACGCCGCGUGAGUGAAGAAGGUUUUCAGAUCGUAAAGCUCUGUUGUUAAGGAAGAACGAGUGUGAGAAUGGAAAGUUCAUGCUGUGACGGUACUUAACCAGAAAGGGACGGCUAACUACGUGCCAGCAGCCGCGGUAAUACGUAGGUCCCGAGCGUUGUCCGGAUUUAUUGGGCGUAAAGCGAGCGCAGGCGGUUAGAUAAGUCUGAAGUUAAAGGCAGUGGCUCAACCAUUGUAGGCUUUGGAAACUGUUUAACUUGAGUGCAGAAGGGGAGAGUGGAAUUCCAUGUGUAGCGGUGAAAUGCGUAGAUAUAUGGAGGAACACCGGUGGCGAAAGCGGCUCUCUGGUCUGUAACUGACGCUGAGGCUCGAAAGCGUGGGGAGCGAACAGG